rnacentral:lncRNA from 1 species
CAUCCAAGCUCAUGGUGGGUCAGUGUUUUCUGUCACUAAAGAGUCCUGAUUCUCUCCUAGCAUCUUCCCUCUCCAUUUCAUCAUCCUGGUCUUCAUCAAGGUGUUAAAUUCUGCAGUUGUUGAGAGCUUCACCCUCCACCCCACUGAAGACUCCCUGAUGCUUGCACAGUCCAGCUGUUGGAAAUUCUUCAGAGCCAGGUAAGAGCAGCAUCCCCAGGGUUGUUGGAGUCAGCAUGGAGCAGUGAGGAUUGGCAGGACAUUCUCCAGAGCCAGGUAAGAGCAGCAUCCCCAGGGUUGUUGGAGUCAGCAUGGAGCAGUGAGGAUGGGCAGGACAGCCCUCGGCACAUGCACAGAGCAAAGGAAGCCACAGGAACGGUGCAGGAGGAAAGAGCGUGGGAGGAAUAGAUGAAGCUGUGGAUAAGAAAGGUUUUAACACCUGUAAUGGUGAAAUUUUAGUUCUCUAAGAAAAAAUAGACUUAUUAAUGAAUAUUAAAUUAUGUGUGACUUUGCUGACUUACUUUGGAGGUUGAAAGAGAAGCAGCAGCAGAGAGUCAGCUGUGCUGUUGAAGAGUUUCAAUAUCAGAAGAGAAGUGAAUGGACAUUAAAAAAACUCUCAAGCUUUACUCUGCAAUUUCCAGGCAAUCAUAUUUAUAAGGCUUUCCUGUUCCAUCUUCCCCAACAAAUGUAAGCUGAGCUUUUGCUGCAUCAGACAGUGAUGAGGAGAUUGGAGAGCCCUGCACACCUCACCUAUGUUUUAUAUGGUAUGUAUGCAGAUUUUUUUUGCAAACAGCUCUGUCAGUCCCCUGAAUCAACCAGAAGCCACCUGACAGUGGCUGUUGCAGCACUGAUGCUGCACUGAUCAGCCCAGACAGAAGCAGCCUGCACUGGUUUAAGACCCUCUCUACAAUACUGAUGCUACACAGUUGCUCAUAGGCUCAGAGUUAAUGUGGAGCUUGGGUGCUUCUGCUUGGAAACAGAAUCCAGGACAGCAGUAAGUAAUAAAUAUUUGGGAUGAUGACUUUUCA